ACAAUCUAUGUUUCUUGUGCAGUAUAGCAGUGGGCUUUUCAGUACCAGGAAGACGUAUGAAAGGGAGAGAAAAUCUUUUUCUGUCUGGUGUUUUUCAAAAUUUUGAUGAUGGACUCACAUCAAGGAUGAAGAGCUUUGAUGUCAUUUGAACACCACCACCAUCACCACCACCAGCAUCAACAAACAAACAAGCAAACAAGCGUGAACUCAGGAGCCCUGUGGCCCAGCCUCCAGUCCAUUUCCUCACUGUGAUCUGGCUAAGUCACCUCCCCUCCACCUCAGUUCAGUCACCUACACAACAGGAAUGGUGGCUCCUGGCGUGAAAAGUUCUUAGGAGCAUUCAGCAUGAUGCUGUGUGGAGCACUUGGAAACUGCGUGUGCAUCACCUCAUAUUUCUGGCCACAGGUCAUUCAGACAUCUGCCCUUUGCCCUGGAGGAGAACCACUAGGGACUUGUGCCCAUAAGCACCAAUUCUGGCUUUUACCCUACCCAUCCUUUGCCAUCCCAAACUAUGCCAUCAACAAAUUCUAGAAAUCAAGUUAGAAAUGCUGUUCCCACGAGGGUCUCUGUGGUCUCUCAGAACAACAAUCAGCUGGCCCUGCUGGGCAGAUGUUGCCCAAUCCUAACCCACACUUAGCUAUCAACUUAAUCAUUCUCAACUAAAAACACCUACCUGAACACUUUUAGGGGUUAAGAAUAGUAUAAUCUCACUUAGCCAUUUGCAUUUUUUCUUCUUUUUACAAAAAGAAAUUUAUCUUUUUUUUUUUUUGAGACGGAGUCUUGCUCUGUUGCCCAGGUUGGAGUGCAGUGGCGCAAUCUUGGCUCACUGCAAGCUCCGCCUCCUGGGUUAGCGCCAUUCUCCUGCCUCAGCCUCCCGAGUAGCUGGGACUACAGGUGCCUGCCACCACGCCUGGCUAAUUUUUUUGUAUUUUUAGUAGAGACGGGGUUUCACCGUGUUAGUCAGGAUCGUCUUGAUCUCCUGACAUCGUGAUUCGCCCUCCUCAGCCUCCCAAAGUGCUGGGAUUACAGGCGUGAGCCACUGCGCUCUGCCAAGAAUAGUAUAAUCUCACUUAGCCAUUUGUAUUUUUUCUUCUUUUUACAAAAAGAAAUUUAUCUCAUUAUUAUGUUUAAUCAGUUUCUUGAGGUAUAACUUAAGUGUGCUAAAAUUUGCUCUUUUUAGUGUACAGGUCUAGGAUUUUUGAGAAACACAUAUUCAUAUGUGACCACCCCCAUGAUCAACAUAUGGAACAGUCAUUUGCCACCCAAAAUUACCUUGUGCCCUUUUGUUGUCAGACUCUUCUUUCUCCAGACCCUGGCAACCACUGAUGGAUUUUCUGUCCCUAUAGUUUUGCCUUUUCCAGAAUGUUCUGCAAAUGUAAUCAUUUAGUAUGUAGCCUUUUAAGUCUGAUUUCUUUCACUCUGCAUAAUGCAUUUGAGAUUCACCCACGUUGUUACCUGUUACAAUGGUUUGUUCCUUUUUAUUGCGGAGUAAUAUUCCCUUGCAUGGAUGUACCACAGUUUGGGUAACCAUUCAACAGUCAAAUGAGAUUGAAUUUGUUUCCAUUUUUUGGUGAUUAUAAAUACAGCUAUAAACAUUUGUGA
ensembl:lncRNA LINC00598 long intergenic non-protein coding RNA 598